rnacentral:rRNA from 1 species
GGAGCAAUGCCGCGUGACUGAAGACGGUCUUCGGAUUGUAAAGGUCUGUUGUAAGGGAAGAACAGUAAGUAUAGGAAAUGAUACUUAUUUGACGGUACCUUACCAGAAAGCCACGGCUAACUAUGUGCCAGCAGCCGCGGUAAUACAUAGGUGGCAAGCGUUAUCCGGAUUUAUUGGGCGUAAAGCGUGCGCAGACGGUUUAACAAGUUUGGGGUCAAAUCCUGGAGCUCAACUCCAGUUCGCCUUGAAAACUGUUAAGCUAGAGUGUAGGAGAGGUCGAUGGAAUUCCAUGUGUAGCGGUGAAAUGCGUAGAUAUAUGGAGGAACACCAGUGGCGAAGGCGGUCGACUGGCCUAUCACUGACGUUUAGGCACGAAAGCGUAGGGAGCAAAUAGGAUUAGAUACCCUAGUAGUCUACGCCGUAAACGAUGAGUACUAAGUGUCGGACUAAGUUCGGUGCUGUAGCUAACGCAUUAAGUACUCCGCCUGAGUAGUAUGCUCGCAAGAGUGAAACUCAAAGGAAUUGACGGA